rnacentral:rRNA from 1 species
GGGAAGAGCCCAAGAUUGAAAGCUGGCGUCUUCGGCGUCCGCAUUGUAAUCUCAAGAAGUGUUUUCCGCUUCGGACCAAGCCUAAGUCCCUUGGAAAAGGGCAUCAUAGAGGGUGAUAAUCCCGUACAUGGCUUGGAGCGCCCGAAGCUUUGUGAUACGCUUUCUAAGAGUCGAGUUGUUUGGGAAUGCAGCUCAAAAUGGGUGGUAAAUGCCAUCUAAGGCUAAAUAUUGGGGAGAGACCGAUAGCGAACAAGUACAGUGAUGGAAAGAUGAAAAGAACUUUGAAAAGAGAGUUAAACAGUACGUGAAAUUGCCAAAAGGGAAGGGUAGGAGGUCAGAGAUGCGGCCUGGGAUUCAGCCUUGCUUUUGCUUGGUGUUUUUCCCAGAUUGCAGGCCAACGUCGGUUUUGGGCACUGGAGAAGGGUAGGAGGAACGUGGCACCUCUCGGGGUGUGUUAUAGCCUCCUACUGGAUACAGCGACCGAGACCGAGGACAGCAGCGUACUCGCAAGAGCGGGCCUUCGGGCACCUUUACGCUUAGGGCGUUGGCAUAAUGGCCCUCUACCACCC